rnacentral:rRNA from 1 species
GAUCAUGGCUCAGGAUGAACGCUAGCUACAGGCUUAACACAUGCAAGUCGUGGGGCAGCAUGGGAGAUGCUUGCAUUUCCCGAUGGCGACCGGCGCACGGGUGAGUAACGCGUAUCCAACCUGCCCUUCACUCCGGCACAGCCCGUCGAAAGACGGAUUAAUGCGGGAUGCAGUCAGAAAGAUGCAUAUUAAUUUGACGAAAGGCCUUCGGGCCGGUGAGGGAUGGGGAG